UGGGAGGAUGUACUGAGUAAUGAAGAGUUUAUUAAGCAUCAUAUAGAGACAUAUUUUCCCCAUUAGUAACUCACCAUGCAUAGACUUAAGAGGCCUACUCUCAGCUGGUACUAAAAGAAGGGGUUGACAUUUUUCAUUGACUCCUACUUGCAAUACAAACAGGAAAAACUGAACUCUCAACAGGCCAGGCUUUUAGAGAAUCCAGCUUUGGUAAAUGACAAUUCUGGUAGCUCACUAUAAAAAGAGAAACCAUUUUGUAAUAGAGACAUGCUCAUUAGUAGCUAAUUCUCUGUUAGCUAUACACACCAAGCAGCUUGGCACUUUGCACAUGCUGUGUCUCUGUAUUGACCAGCAACUGUAAAGUAAACCAUGCCGUUCUGCCUGAUAAGAACCUAGAGCGAGCUCUGAGAACUUAAACUGUGACCAUUGUCACUAAACAGCUGAGGCAGAAGAUAAUCUCAUCCUGGACGGCAUCGCUGUGAAUCCUACUCCCAGAUUGCUGGGCAAGAACAAAACUUUAUCAGGAAGGUCUGGCAAUGGCAUUUAUACAUGUAUAGGUAUAGUCUUACCAGAGAGUGUUAUUUCCAGGGAAUAAUGAGUUUAUACACUGGGAAAAGGCAGAAUGUGAUAAAUGACAACUGAGUUGUUAAGGAAUGUCAAAUAGCAAACCAAGAAUGAGAGUUUUUAAAAGUACCAUGAUGAAUGAAUGGAAACUUUGAAUCAGGGCAGAGUGAGAUUUAUCUUUUAGAAGCAGAAAUAUUUGAAUAGUAAAUAACUAGAUGUUAGGAAAAUGAGACCCAAAUGACUACAGGUUGGUCCUUGUGUCUUUGGGAUGUAUAAACU
rnacentral:lncRNA from 1 species